GACGAACGCUGACGGCGUGACUAAUACAUGCAAGUCGAGCGAAGCGGCGGACGGGUGAGUAACAAGUAAGGAACCUACCGAUAAGCGGGGGACAACAUCCGGAGAAGGGUGCUAAUACCGCAUCAUUAUAGAUGGCCUUGCGGUGCAUUAGCUCGUUGGGGGGGUAACGGCCUACCAAGGAAAUGAUGAAUAGCCGACCUGAGAGGGUAAUCGGCCACAUUGGGACUGAGACACGGCCCAAACUCCUACGUGAGGCAGCAGUAGGGAAUCUUCCGCAAUGGGCGCAAGCCUGACGGAGCAACGCCGGGUGAGUGAUGAAGGUUUUCGGAUCGUAAAGCUCUGUUGUAAGAGAAGCGGUAUCUUACCAGUAAGCCACGGCUAACUACGUGCCAGCAGCCGCGGUAAUAC
rnacentral:rRNA from 1 species